GAUGAACGCUGGCGGCGUGCCUAAUACAUGCAAGUAGAACGCUGAAGCUUGGUGCUUGCACCGAGCGGAUGAGUUGCGAACGGGUGAGUAACGCGUAGGUAACCUGCCUCUUAGCGGGGGAUAACUAUUGGAAACGAUAGCUAAUACCGCAUAAAAGUCGAUAUCGCAUGAUAUUGAUUUGAAAGGUGCAAAUGCAUCACUAAGAGAUGGACCUGCGUUGUAUUAGCUAGUUGGUGAGGUAACGGCUCACCAAGGCGACGAUACAUAGCCGACCUGAGAGGGUGAUCGGCCACACUGGGACUGAGACACGGCCCAGACUCCUACGGGAGGCAGCAGUAGGGAAUCUUCGGCAAUGGGGGCAACCCUGACCGAGCAACGCCGCGUGAGUGAAGAAGGUUGUCGGAUCGUAAAGCUCUGUUGUAAGAGAAGAACGAGUGUGAGAGUGGAAAGUUCACACUGUGACGGUAACUGACCAGAAAGGGACGGCUAACUACGUG
rnacentral:rRNA from 1 species